rnacentral:rRNA from 1 species
GGUCCGUUGGACAGUCGUACGACGAGUAGUUUGACUCGUGGCUACAGGACGACGCUGGCGGCGUGCCUAACACAUGCAAGUCGAGCGAUGAAGUUCCUUCGGGAACGGAUUAGCGGCGGACGGGUGAGGUAACACGUGGGUAACCUGCCUUAUAGAGGGGGAUAGCCUUCCGAAAGGAAGAUUAAUACCGCAUAAAGUUGUUGAUUCGCAUGGAUCGAUAACCAAAGGAGCAAUCCGCUAUAAGAUGGACCCGCGGCGCAUUAGCUAGUUGGUGAGGUAGAAGCUCACCAAGGCGACGAUGCGUAGCCGACCUGAGAGGGUGAUCGGCCACAUUGGGACUGAGACACGGCCCAGACUCCUACGGGAGGCAGCAGUGGGGAAUAUUGCACAAUGGGGGAAACCCUGAUGCAGCAACGCCGCGUGAGUGAUGAAGGCCUUCGGGUUGUAAAGCUCUGUCUUUGGGGACGAUAAUGACGGUACCCAAGGAGGAAGCCACGGCUAGCUACGUG